GUUGUCUUUCUGUAUAUGUUUUAUCUUAUUGGUUGAUGAAUAAAGCACUGUUGGCCAAUAGGCAGCAAGAUAGGCGGGUCUAGGAGAUGAGAAUUCUGGGAAGUGUAAGCAGAGAGCAGUUGUCAUGUGAUCCCAGGAGAAGUCAGGUGUUCUUUGGUAAGAUAAGACCAUGUAGAAAUACUUAGAUUAAUAGAAAUGGGUUAAUAAUUAAGACAGAGCUAGCCAAUAAGAAGCCCAAGCCAACAGCCAACAGUUUCAUAAUUAAUUCAACAUCUGCAUCUUUAUUUGGGGAUCAAGGGCCAUGGGACCUGCUGGGACAAAGAACCUUUUGUAACAGGUUGAUUGAAUGACCUUAAAAGCCUCCUACACAGGAGCUGAACGUCUUUUAUUCAAACCAAUCAUCCGGAAAGCAAGCCUCCCACUGGUACUUAGUUCACUCAAGGAAAGAUUAGAAGAACCUGGUUACCAAGCUUUGAGAAGUUGCUCAUAAAAUUCAGCAGGAACCUGCAAUCCUCAGAGACUUCUAUUUUUACCAAAAAACACACACAGAGAAGCGGAGAAUUUUCAAAUGAAUUAGACAUGAGAUUGAUCUUUUUAUAAAAGAGAAAAAAGAACCACGAUGCUAUGUUUGAACUUUCCCUCUCAUCUCCGGUUUCCCUCAGUUGCCUCAUCUUGGUGGCUCAUGGCAGGCCUGAGUUCUGACCCAGAUGCAGCCAAGUCAGUGGCCAGUAGUCAGAGACACACCAAGGACUCCUCAAAACGAUUGUAGUCUUGUCUGCAACUCCAAACCCUGAGACACUCCAAGGGGAGCUGGUCAAGAUGACUCCUCUAGGCCCAACCAAAUGAGAACCAUGCACACAGAAAGGGGCACUAAUGGCCUCAAACAGGACCCACUCAGACAUGGCUGGAAAGAGAACCCUUGGUCCUCAGCUGGUGCUGCAGAGCUAGGAAUUUGUAGAUGUUUCAAAGCUGUCUUCUUUUACAUUCAGCACACUGUGCUCCUCAGCAGGACCAGCUGCCUGGCACACUCAUCUCUACAAAAGCAUUCCAGGGCUGUGUUUCCUCUCCUGAGCUAUGCACAUGCAGUAUCUGUGGUUUAUUCACAGUGCUCUAUGAACCCCACAGGUUCUAUGGCAGUAUCUCCAGAGCCACCAAGUACCCACUGCCCUGAGUCUCUACACACGUUAGCCGGAAAGCUCAAUUUAUAUGUAUGCUUUGCCUUUCAGAACAUCGUCAGCUCCUCUCUGGAUGAGCAACAGAAUCUAUCUAUCAUAUGAGAACACAAGACUGAGGAGAAAUGUCUAGUCUCUAAAGCAGGCCCUGGCAGACCAGUCAGGAUGGAUGCCUUUUGAUCACACACACUUUACCUCUGGAUCUUGUGUGAUCUUCAGCCACCUCUCUCUUCCUUUCUCUUGAUUGGUC
rnacentral:lncRNA from 1 species